rnacentral:rRNA from 1 species
UACGUAGGGGGCUAGCGUUGUCCGGAUUUAUUGGGCGUAAAGAGCUCGUAGGCGGUUUGUCGCGUCUGCUGUGAAAACCUAAGGCUCAACCUUGGGCUUGCAGUGGGUACGGGCAGACUAGAGUGCGGUAGGGGUGACUGGAAUUCCUGGUGUAGCGGUGGAAUGCGCAGAUAUCAGGAGGAACACCGAUGGCGAAGGCAGGUCACUGGGCCGCAACUGACGCUGGAGGAGCGGAAAGCAUGGGGAGCGAACAGG